GACGAACGCUGGCGGCGUGCCUAAUACAUGCAAGUUGAGCGCUGAAGGUUGGUACUUGUACCAACUGGAUGAGCAGCGAACGGGUGAGUAACGCGUGGGGAAUCUGCCUUUGAGCGGGGGACAACAUUUGGAAACGAAUGCUAAUACCGCAUAAAAACUUUAAACACAAGUUUUAAGUUUGAAAGAUGCAAUUGCAUCACUCAAAGAUGAUCCCGCGUUGUAUUAGCUAGUUGGUGAGGUAAAGGCUCACCAAGGCGAUGAUACAUAGCCGACCUGAGAGGGUGAUCGGCCACAUUGGGACUGAGACACGGCCCAAACUCCUACGGGAGGCAGCAGUAGGGAAUCUUCGGCGAUGGACGAAAGUCUGACCGAGCAACGCCGCGUGAGUGAAGAAGGUUUUCGGAUCGUAAAACUCUGUUGGUAGAGAAGAACGGUGGUGAGAGUGGAAAGCUCAUCAAGUGACGGUAACUACCCAGAAAGGGACGGCUAACUACGUG
rnacentral:rRNA from 1 species